rnacentral:tRNA from 1 species
UCGCGGGGUAGAGCAGCUUGGUAGCUCGUCGGGCUCAUAACCCGAAGGUCGGAGGUUCAAAUCCUCUCCCCGCUAG